rnacentral:lncRNA from 1 species
CGCAACAUCCUACGUUUUGAGACCUGCCAAUAAUAGCUACAAGUUGAUCGUCUGCCGAUGAAAUUGAUGCCUGCAAUGACGACCUUAUCUUUGCAAUCACCAAAGUCAUUGCAAGGAACAAGAUACGUAAUGACCAAAAUUAUUUGAUUUCAUCAAUAGAUUUAUUUAGACAAGCCUGUUUGACAAAGAUUCACCAACUCUAGAUUUAACAUUUUCAGUUUCACUCUAUUAAAAAAUUUCCAAACACUCCAGAUGCACCAAAUUCUUUGGAUCCACCAAAAUAGUGGAUCUAGUGGCCAAAUUCACCAUUUUGGUACUCCACCAACUUAAGUUUGGUGAGGUUGGAGAAAAUUACCUACCACUGCUAUUGGUUACACAAAUAACGCUUUGUCAUGUUUUCUUUCUUUCCUUUCUUCUUUUUGUGUUCGCAGCCGGUGCCCGCACCAUCGGAGCCAUGCCUCAUUGAAGCUCACUCCAAACUGGAGCCCCAACCAUGCCCUCAAUGGUCGUGCACCCUUGCAAUCGCCUCGGUCGGCUACGCUCCUUUGUCCGCCUAGCCAUGGCCACGCUCCUCGGCCCUGUGCCCCCAUGAAAACCCCAACCGUGCCCUCAUUCUCACCCUACGCUGGCAGUGCUAGAGUGCCUGUCGGCCCCAUACCACUAGAGCGCCUAUCCACCCCGCACCGUUGAUCCAUGCCACCCACCUCACGCUUGCCCGCCCUAGCUUCGGCAAGGCCGCGCCUGCGGGCUAUGAUGAGGCCAUGAGGCCACCCACGCCUACCCACCUCGCACCUGCCACUGCGGCCGCACCUGCCCAACUUGCUCCUGCCCAUCGUGCAAUGUGCUCUACUCGAUAAGUAAGCCUGGGCAUUCGGGUUACCCGAUUUUUUCGGGUCGGGUAAUUCGGGUAAUUCAAAAUUCGGGUAAUGAAAAUUGUUACCCGAUAUUAGUCCUAAAAAAAUACUACCCGAAUUUCGGGUACCCGAUAAUUCGGGUUCGGGUAUUCCCGAUUUACCCAAAUUUUCAAAAAACAACACACUAUACAAAAUUUCAAUAGCAAUUUAUAUAUAAUUUCAGCAGCAAUUUGUAUAGAAUUUCAAUAGUAUUUUGUAGAGAACAAUAUAUUACUAUCACUUGUUCAAACAAAGAGAAUUAUGUUCUAAUAAAUUGAUAAGUUCUAAUAUCUAACUAACAACACAUGAUAAAUACAAAGAUAUAGACAAAUAUUUGGGUAAUUCGGGUACCGUGGGAUAUUACCCGAAUUACCCAAACUAAUUUCGGGUAAUCAAAAUCGCUAUCCGAAUUUUGGAUCGGGUACCUCGGAUUCGGGUAAUUCGGGUCCGGAUCCGGAUAAUUCGGAUACGGGUAAUGAGUAUCGGGUAAUUUGCCCAGGCUUAUCGAUAAGAGGAGGAAGAAGAGCUAACACGUGGGCCCAAGGCAACAGUAGUUCUAGUCAUUAGAUCUGGAUCUGCUACUUGAGCCAAACAAUUUCCUAGUAGAUUUAUAGUGGAUCUAAGAUCCAUGGUGUAGUUGAUUCACAGUGAAUCCCAGAUCUAUAUUCACUUUUUUCAGUGGUGAGAAACAUGAUCUAAAAACUAUAUAGAGAGAGAGAUGUGAUCCCUCUCCUUCCUACCACUGGCAGACGCACCGAUGAGGAAGAAGGAGAGAGGCCCUAGGCGGGAAGGACGAUGACAACGAGGAGCAAGGGCCGCCGGCAACGGCGGGUGCACGAAUUUUAUUCUUAUUAAAUAUUGAUUAUUAUUUCUAGGUGGAGGAAGUGUUUUUUAUGUACAAAUAGAAAUGAGUAAUUUAGAAACAUGUUAUUGAAAAUUCUUAUAUUCCCCUGUAAAUAUGCAGAUGAUGCUUGGAGCUACAUAUAGGGUUUGUGCUCUUUUAUAUUGAGCUUUGUUUUCGUCUGUUUUUUUACAACAAACGAUUUUAUAUUACAUGAAAGUUGACAAUAUAGUUACAGCUUGCAUGUUUACAGAGUUUAGUGCUUCCACUAGUGGGCACUGAUGGCUAUGAUGCAAAUAAGAGUACAUAGGCUUAAAAGUUAAACCAGAUGCAACAGCUGUGGUGUUGAGGUUCCUAUUGAUCUUGAAGAUCUUAGCCUGGCGAUGAGCUGAGCAGUUGGUGAAUAAUUUGGUGAAGGAUUCGGUCUGGAGGAUGAGUUUGGUGUGGUUGAUUGAGGAAAUUCACUAAAAAAGCCUGUGUUGUUGAAGUUGAGGGUAUCAUUCACCAUUGCAGCAAGGGCUAAGGCAGCCGCCUCUGCCAUAAGCACCGAUCGGGAUUAAUAAAUUGCGCCAAUGCCGAACGUACGACCAAUGACGCGCUCCAGCUACGCCUACGGCGAGGUACACGUCAACUUUUGCUGGGUCUAGCUGAAACAAGUAACAGUUAGGCGCGCGGCUAAAAAGACCUGCCAGUGUAUUCUCGGAUACAUAUACAUAGGAAAAAAGGCACCGUCAAGGAAUCUUCCGGCUUUCCGAGCACACCGUCAACUGGACCUUGUUGUUCGUUCCUUGUCGCUGUCCUUGAACCGUGUACGAUCUCUCAGUUUCGGUCACUUGUCACUUCUCUAAUCUUUGAUGCGAUCGACGUCCGUGUCCAUUCUUUUCCGAUCGAGGUUCAGGUGGUAGCUUGCACUAGCUAGGCACCUUCUCUAUCGUCAUAUACUCUCGAAUCAUCAUAGACUCUAAAGCUUUCCUUUCGCACAAACGCUCACCACCGGCCAAACGGAAGUGAACGAAAAUGCUUCACGCACUAUAUGAGACGAUCAGUUCCUCACGCAAAAUUUUGUCACCGUAUAUUUUCUCAUGAGCCGUUUCCUGGUCUUGCAAUUAACAAGCACCACCAAGGCACCAACAGUAUAGUAUGUUGAUUGAUGACAUAACCAUAUUGAACAUGAUACUGAAUUGAACAAGCAAAUAAUAGGAAAAAAAAAUCUUUUGUACGCCUUCCAAAGUCGGGGUUAAAAAUUGAUUUUUCACAAUAGUAAAUUGUUUUACUACGAGGAAACUAAGGAUUUCGUUGAAAAAUGCUCAUAGAUCUCUGAAUGUGGGACGGAUCAAUGUAGUUUUAAAUACCUGAUUAAUUGUUGAAAGAUCAAUAACAAAUAGUAGAAAGCUGCCAAAGAGCACUUUUAAAAGAAAAAAUACGUAAUUAGAGAGGAAAACUUUAUCUCAUGAAGGUCGAAUAGUUUUGAUAAACCUAAUUUUAAGUAGCCUUGCAAUCAAUGUACAUUGUAUCCUUCUUUGAAUACCAAAAGGUCUUUUCGAAAAGCUAGACUAUUAUGGGUCUAUCUUUUUCUAGCAAGGGACACCGUAAGAAAAAAAUAUAGGUUCACAAUGGGGGAAUUUAUGGCCACUCAAUAAGGAACAAGGUGCCUUAGAAAUUUCAAAUCUUGAGAUUGAAAAUCAAUGCUUACUUACAGUUCCGUCUCAACAUUUUUCAAGGGCCAUUAGAAAAGCAAGCAAAAAGGGCCUAGCAAUAUAAUCUUUUAGGGCCUAUCUGGCAUGGCUCCGGCUCUGACAGCAACUUCUACAGAGGAGCCAAAGGAGCCAUACCAAAUACUUUAGCAAGAUAGACCAAAUAUAUAUACUAAGUAAUAUAUACAUACAUAUACUCAUGGGCCCCCUUGCUUGGAUGGAUCUUCCAGCCAUCCCACCUGCUGUCCACCCCCUUAGACGGCCCUACUUAGUAAAUGGCUUUACGAAAUUAUCAAUAAAGUUGGAGUUUGAAAAGAACUUCUUAGGAAUUGUAUAUUUAAAACUUUGGGUACAACGUAUUAGAAGCUGGGAGAUUCACACUUCUCCACCUUGAACUUUCAAUGUGGUGCUCAAAGUUAGGUUGUGAGAGGGUAAGUGGUUUGGAAACUUCACCGUAAAAGAUAAUAUCUAUGUUUACAUAAUGUUGUUGAUCUCUUUUUUAGCACCACACCUCUUAAUAUUUCUUUUCUUAGAAUGCUAGUGAUGACAAACUACUUAAGUAGAUAGGAAUCGGUCAUAAAAGUGACAAUUGUGUAACUCUAUCAACAAUUAGAUUCUAUUAAAUUGACCCUUACUAAUAGGGAUUUUCACAUUGUGAAUGUAUAAAGAAUAGUAAACCAAAUUGCACUGCCUCUAAAUAAAUCAUUAUGGAACCUCAAGUACCCCUAAAAGUUCAAGAUAUGUGUUUGUUUCUUAACAAAGAGGUGAUUUUGACAAAAGACGAUCUCCUAAAAUAAAAUAGGAAGGGUGGUGAAGAGAUUUUUUUACAAUAAAGGAAUAAUCCAACAAUUGUUUUUGGAGUGUAAUGUAGCAUGAUUUAUUUGAAGGACUGUCCAUAGAAUUUGGCUUACAACCACCAAUUGAUAUGACUAUAUUUUCAAACAUGGUUACAAUAAAUGGAUCCAAAGCUAUGAUAUGACUUUUUGUUCAAAUAUGGUUACGACAAAUAAUGGAUCCAAAGCUAGGACCUCAAAUUUGAGUGGGAGCAUGUGCUUUCUUUGUAGUCUAUACGGUUUUGACCAAAAAAAACAUUAGUUAUAGUCAUGUUUUUUAGGGCAACUUAGGGGAUGCAGUUCUAGUCAAUGCUUUUAAAAGAAGUUCGUCCAACAAAAUUUGAAGUGGGUAUGCCGAGUACGUGAUGAAGACUAAACAAUACAGAAUUGUGCCAAAAAUAGGUAGAGGUCUUCUAAUAGGCUAGAGCUUAGUUUGUUGCUAGUUUCAUAUAGUCUUUCACACUUUUGUUGAUUUUUUAGAGCUUCUCUUCAUCAGCACCCUUAGUGGCCGAAACUUACGCAAAAAUAUUAUGUAUCAUUGUAUUAAGUAGAUAGAGUAUAAGAAUGCAAGAGUUCCGGCAUUAAGCCGGUUACAGAUUUAAAAGGCUACAUCUUGAAGGUGACAAUGAGUCCACGACGUCUGAACAGCAGCUCUAGCUAUGCGCCCCUGCCUGAAUCCAAGUAUCCGUCUCUGCCUUGAUCACCGGUAGCAGCUGGCUUCAUCGUGGUGGACGCAUCUUGGAAGCAUCAAGCAUUCCUUUCCUUUCAGAUUGUCCACGAUACAAGCGUGAAGGAGAGGGUGUCAAGGCCUUGCUGCUGCUGGCUGGUCCAUAAUGAUCGCAGCCGUCGCCAGAGGGUGUGAAUUGUUGGUGCAGCCGGUGGAAGCUGUCGGCCGAGAGCUUGGCAGAUGUGAUGCCAUACUUCCUUGGUGUAUGGACAACAUGCUAUAAUAUGAUCAAUGGUUUCAAUCGCCUUGAUCACAGAGGUAGCAUUGCUUUGCGUCAGAGGCCAUGGUGGGCACGGCGGUCACCGGUCCAGUGUCUCCUUCUGAAUGCCAACCAUAAAAAGAUCUUGACGCGCAACGGUGCCUAAGUCUUCCAGAUCAAACGUUGGACUAGAAAUUUUGUCGAUCCAGAAUGGAGUAAUAAUAAUAGAUAGUUGAGUGUAAAAGUUUAGCAAAAGCUAAAUAAAAUUUCUUCAAUAAAAAAGCUAUAAAAAUAGUACUGUACUGGAAUCUGAGGCGGUGGUACACCAUGAAUAAGGCAUAGACGGAGUAAAGAUACCUGAAUAAGGAUGGAAGCGACUAUCAGCCAGGUGAAGUCGUAUAAUCAUCAAUCAACAAAUACUGAAUUUAUUAGCUAGGCUGUUUUUUUGGGCAGCUUUCAACGAUUUUGGGAAUUUGGGCUGGGCUGUUUUGGGCGUAGAUGAAGAUCGGGCACAAUUUGCUAUAGUACAGCUUUCAAAAUAUUUUCAUCCAACGGAUCAAUUGGCUAAUGAGGGAACUGUGCAGGUGCAAAAGGCUGGGCCUCUUGGGCCUAAUUUGGCUCUCCAGGCGUUCCUAUCUGCGGUUACAGGCGGAUGGGAAUUUGUAGCAGGCCUAAUGCUCGUGUGUAAUUGACUGAUUUAUUUGCCGGCCCAUUUCAUUGAGCAAAGGUGAAGACUGAGCAAUUUAGUAUUUGGGUUCGAUCUUAAAAAAUGAGAUAUGUUAAGAUUGAGGUGAGUCAAUUUAUCAUGCAAAUAUAUUUUUUUAAUAACAUACAUAGGGUCAUUUUUCUAAAUCAACUAGAUGAAAUUCCACUUCCUACACCAUGAAUAAGGCAUAGACCAUAAAAAAGGUGGCUUUCAAUAACUUGGUCAAAAAUAGCUAGUGUCAUAAAUAUUGAUACUCUUCUCUAUAAAUUUAGUUGAAAUUGAGGACUUAUGACAAAGCUAAAAUGUUACUCUUUUGCCGGAUGAAGAUAAUAAAUGGCUACUCCUUCCAUUGCAAAAUAAAACACACAUAUCUCUUUUCGAGGAGUCAAAGUUUUUUAAGUUUGAUUAGAAAUAUAGAAAAUAAUAUCAACACUACAUCUCCAAAUGAGUUCAUUGCGGAAGUAUAUUCAAUGUUUAAUCUAAUAAUACUUAUUAUACAUUAUAAAUAUUAGUAUAUUUAUUGUAUAUAUAUAUAUUUUUAUCAAACUUUAAAAGGCUUGACUCUUCAGAAAGCGAGAUAUUUUUGGGACGGAGGGAGUACAUUUAUGAUGUGGGAUGGAGAAGAUAGGUCCCUGUUAUGGGAUGGAGUAGAUAGAUUCCUAUGAUAUAGAGGUGAUUUUUUUUUAAAUGAGUUUAUUUCUGUAAUACUAUAGCUAGAUAGACAGACAAAUAGAUACAAUACAAUGGUCAACAGACCUUCGUAAGAAAAAAUUAAAUAUACUUUAAUCUAAAGAUAGAUAGAGAUAGAUAUGUAUAACUUCAGACAAAGUCUGAUCCCAGUCGACCCAUAGAUUUAUUCUUUGUCAAUGACAAUCCACAGAUUUAUGGUGUUUUUUAGUCAUAUAAUAUAUCUCCUUGUGGGACGAAGAAGCCACCGGUCAGCGGUCCGGCCUGCGUCUGCACAGUAUAAAUAGCAUCCCCCGUCCUCCACUUUGUUGCAUCAUUCACCUGUUCGUGCUACCUCUGUGUGAGGGCAAAUGAGAUCGGCACUUGUAGUGAGCUUUGCUUGUGCGUGGCUGCUGCUGUUGCAGCUCGCAGGAGCUUCGCAUGUCGUCUACGACGAGUUUUUCGAGGCCGAGGCUGCGACAGCGAAGGUGCCACCGUCCAUCGUCAACCCCCAGCUGAGGACGGGGUACCACUUCCAUCCCCCCAAGAACUGGAUCAAUGGUAAUGUAAAGCUACUAAGUAAUCAUCAACCAGAGCCAAAUUUUUGAAGGCGAUAUGCUGAACAUGCAUCUUCUGAAAUAAAGAGAGGGUAGUAAUAGGCUAAAAAAAUUGUUUAAAGGGUCAACUGAGCAAAAACAACUUUAUUAAUUAGUACUAUGCGUCAACAAUUUAUUUUAGUGCAAAAACUGUGUUCAUGUGUUAGCACUAGAGUCAUAGGGUGUGUUUGGUUGGGUCUCUUGGGCUGGCUUUUGGUUUAGCUGGGCCAAUGUGGAUUGUUUGGUUAGCUGGCCAGCCUACUUAGCCAGGCUCUAGGAAGCCAAAAGUGCCUCCCUAGCCAGGUCCAGAUUGAAUCACCAGGUUGAUGUUUCUUCUGGAGCCAGGCUACACUCGGCCUUCUUUAUGUGUCUCCUAACCGCCCCUGCUCGGCUCACGAUCCCCUCCCUCCUCCGCCACCGCCGCUCUCCUCCACGCGCGCCCCCUUUCCCCCGCCGCCGCACACGACACAGGCGGAGUCCGAGCCGGAGGUGGUGCUGUCGUCCCCAAACUCCCCCCAACUUCGCCUUCUCCUCCCCCACAUCCCAUGGCGCCCGCCGCGACCGUCACCGGUGCCGAGGACUCUGAUCGUCUCGCAUCCCACGCCGUCCAGCCAUAAAAGAUGGGGGAGCUCGCGGCGCUCCACUCCUCCUCGGGAGGCGGCGAUGGCGGCGGCCGCCCCUUCUUCGUGGCCUUCUGCGUCGCUGUCAUGCCGCUCUUCACCGUGGCACGCCGGUCCGCCGGGUCCGACCACGUCGCUCGCUUCCCGUCCCGGCGGCUGGACGAGGACGACGUGGCAGUGAUGGUGGUGGCGGAGGCCCUGAAUGUUCUCUCCCUCGCUCUCCCCACUGUCAAGCCCAAUGGGGGGCACCCGCGCCACAUGGAAGGUGGCGGAGGCCCUAGAUCUCCCCUUCGCCGCUUCCUGCCCCCGCUCUGCUGGCUCUCCCACCGCUGCCACGAGCGUGCUGCACGGCCAGCCACACCAUCACGGUGGGGAGGAGACGCCUCGAGGACCGCCACCACCCAGGGGGUCGUCGACGCCGACGACUCCGAUUUCAACUAGGAAGGCUCAGAGUACGACGAGGAGCGGUCGGUGUCCCCGCCCCCACCGCACGCGCCGUCGCACCACCACCACUUGCUGGCGCCAGUGGCACAGCAGCCCCAACUUCGCGGCGGUGAGGAGGAGGCAAACGACGGUGACCUCCAUGCUCACCCUGCUUGAGGAAAUAUCUGAAAGAGGGUAAUCCUACCAAUUGAGAGAAGAGGUAACUCUAUCUCAACAAAUCAAGCAACCAAACAUACUCUAAGGCUAGCCAGGCUGAUAUAGUACACGCAACCAAACAAGCAAGGAUUGGCUAGCUAGGGACAUGCUUGGACUAGCCAGACUUAGUUUGGCUAGCCAGGCUUAUCUAGGAAAUAAACCAAACACACCCAUAGUGGCCAGUGUUACUAUGCUCUGAGCUAUUAUCUGGUAGAGCAACUAUUUAGUGCUUAGUUCAGUAACAAUGUUUGUUGUCAACUGUCAAGCUCGUUUGGCUCUAACUCACAUCUUCUAAUCUUUUUCGGUGUGUUGUGCUCUUCACUACUCUGAUUGCAUCAAUCGGCGGCGUAACUUUGCAACGGCAGAUCCCAACGGUAAUUAAGCCGUUUUCCCACCCUUUUUACUUCUUGUGUUAUCAUGCAUCCAUCAUAUUUCCAGAUUUAUUUUUGGUAUAUAUGCCGUGCAAAUUUCAACCUUACGUACUCAUGGGGAUUACAUCACAUUUGUUAACAUAGAAAUGAGAGAUAUUCGUACUCCACAUGUAGAUUUGCUCUAUUAUUACUAGUGACAUUUCGAUUGGUGUUUUAGUUUUAAGGCCCUGUUUUUAGGCAUUGUUUAGUUCUAAAAAUUUUAAAGAUUCUCCAUCACAUCGAAUCUUUAAACAAAUAUAAGGAGCAUUAAAUAUAGAUUAAAAAAUUAACUAAUUGCAUAGCUUGUCUUUAAUUUACGAAACGAAUCUUCGAGCCUAAUUAGUCUAUGGUUGGACAAUAAUUACCAAAUACAAACGAAAUUGAUACAAUAGACAAAACCAAAAAAAUUUCAGGAAGUAAACAAGGCUUUAGUUCCAAAAAAAAUCAAAAUUUUUCAAGAUUUCCCGUCACCAUCAAAUUUGUAGACGUAUGCAUGGAGCAUUAAAUAUAAAUAAAAAAAAGUACACAUUUUAUAUGUAAUUUGUGAGACAAAUUUUUUGAGCCUCAACAUUUAUCAAAUACAAACGAAAAUGUUAUAAUAGCCAAGUCCAAUAUUUUUCAUCAGCUAAACAAGUCUAAGUGGAAAUACGGACUCGGUUUUCGAUUGAUGAAACUGUGCAUGCAGCGCCCAUGUACUACAAAGGGUGGUACCAUUUCUUCUACCAGUACAAUCCUAAGGGCGCCGUGUGGAACAACAUCGUAUGGGCGCACUCGGUGUCACGAGAUCUCAUCAACUGGGUGGCACUACCGACGGCCCUCAGACCUAGCAUCCCGUCCGACAGGUACGGCUGCUGGUCGGGCUCGGCGACCGUGCUUCCCGACGGCACGCCGGUGAUCAUGUACACCGGCAUCAACCACCCCGACAUCAACUACCAGGUCCAGAACGUGGCCUACCCUCGGAACAAGUCCGAUCCACUGCUCCGCGAGUGGGUGAAGCCCUCGCACAUGAACCCCAUCAUCGUGCCGGAGCGCGACAUCAACGUGACACAGUUCCGCGACCCGACCACGGCGUGGCGCGCCGCCGCCGACGGCCAGUGGCGGCUGCUCAUCGGCAGCGCGACGGACGGCGGCUCACGCGGCGCAGCGUACGUGUACCGGAGCCGCGACUUCCGGCGGUGGACGCGAGUCCGGCGGCCGCUGCACUCGGCGCCGGCCACGGGGAUGUGGGAGUGCCCGGACUUCUACCCGGUGAGCAGCGACGACGACGGCCGCCGCCGGCGCGUCGGGCUCGAGACGUCCGUUCCGUCGGGCCCAAGGGUGAAGCACGUGCUCAAGAACAGCCUCGACCUCCGGCGGUACGACUACUACACCGUCGGCACGUACCACCGGAGAGCCGAGCGGUACGUGCCGGACGACCCCGCCGGCGACGGCGACGGCGAGCGCCGCGUGCGGUACGACUACGGCAACUUCUACGCGUCCAAGACGUUCUACGACCCGGCGAAGCGGCGGCGGAUCCUGUGGGGUUGGGCCAACGAGUCCGACACCGCCGCCGACGAUGUCGCCAAAGGGUGGGCCGGGAUUCAGGCGAUUCCGAGGACGGUGUGGCUGGACCCCAGCGGGAAGCAGCUGCUGCAGUGGCCUAUCGAGGAGGUGGAGGCGCUCAGAGGCAAGGCGGUCACUCUCGGGAAGACGAUAAUCAAGGCAGGGCACCAUGUCAAGGUGACCGGGAUACAGACGGCACAGGUAUAUAUAUAUAUACCGUUACUGUUUCUCGAUCGCCUUGUGCAUCGAUCUGUUGCCCACAGAAUUUUACGGAGCUGUGUUCGUUUGGCUGUUAAAAUGGCAUAAAGUUGUUAGAGAAAAACACUACCGAAUGACUCACACGUUUCCUAUUGUGCUGCAUGCAUGCAGGCUGACGUGGAGGUGAGCUUCGAGGUGUCGCCGUCGGCCCUGGCGGGAGCGGAGCGGCUGGACCCGGCGCUCGCCGACGACGCCGAGAGGCUGUGCGGCGUCAAGCGCGCCGACGUGAAGGGCGGCGUGGGUCCGUUCGGGCUGUGGGUGCUGGCCUCCGCCAACCUCAAGGAGAGGACCGCGGUGUUCUUCAGGGUGUUCAAGGCCGCCGCCGGCAGCAGCAACAAGCACGUCGUGCUCAUGUGCACCGACCCUACCAAGUAAGUCCUGCGAGCAAACCGGCAUCAAUCUCCCGGCUGUGGCCACCAACUAUGAGCUUUUCGUGUGUGUUCACCCACAAAUAUAUAGCAGAGCAUACAGGCAGCAGGUACUGUGGUUACACGUAUAUGUACACUUGACUGCACUGACUUUGUUGGUUUCUUUUUUGUUGCUCGGACACACAGGUCGUCUCUGAACCCAAACCUGUACCGCCCGACGUUUGCAGGUUUUGUUGACACGGACAUUUCAAAUGGGAAGAUAUCGCUGAGAACCUUGGUAUGCGUACUAGUACAAGUAAACAACGAGAUUCAUGUAUCACAAAUCCUCUGUUUAUGUGUUUCUCAGCUGUGGCGAUUACUUUCUUUUUUUCCUGCAGAUCGACAGGUCGGUUGUUGAGAGCUUUGGAGCUGGAGGCAAAACGUGCAUCCUCUCCAGGGUGUACCCGUCGCUUGCCAUCGGCAACAAGGCUCACCUCUACGUGUUCAACAACGGGAGGGCGGACGUCAAGGUGUCCCGUCUCAUCGCAUGGGAGAUGAAGAAGCCGGUCAUGAACGGGGCCAAGAUCUAGAUCUUAAGUAAAUAACUCAUAAAUAAUGUCACCUGAAAACUACUUUUCUAUAUUCUAAAGCGACGUGGUAGCUUGAUAGAGGAUAUCCUGUACUUUUCAUAUAUGACGAUAGUUGCUACCGGUAAAAAAAAGGUUGGAGUUACAAUUGGGUGUGACAAAAAUUUUAUUUGUCGAUGUAGGUGGAUGCAAAGCUAUAGCUUUAUCAUCAAUGCUUGCUCGCUGCCACAUCCAAAGCACAUUCUCUUUUUCUUAUUGGAGAACCUUCUUGGUAGACUAGAUGUUGUCGUUUAAGAAUCGAUUGUCUAUACUAAAGCGUGCAGUGUCCUGUAAUGUUACAGUGCAAAGUCAAUCGACUUUAUUAUUCACUUGCACUAUAUAUAAAGGGAAGUGAUAAAUUUCAGAUGCCUAAAAAUAGUUUGUCCUUCCAGCGAUCGAUUCGAGCAGUCCGAUCUACUGUCGAUAAAUCGUCUUCAACCUCUGUCUCCUCACUACUAUAGACCGAUUCUUCGCUGAGUGUCACGGGCACUCAGCAAAACCAUCUUUGCACUUGGCAAAGACACUUUUUAAAAACAAAUAUUUGCCACUUGACAAAGACACUUUUCUUUUUUAAAAAAAAUCAUUGUCGAGUGGACACCAUAUUUUCAUGCUUCAUCAUCGGCUGGAUGUAUCAUCUUGUCAGGACUAUAUCGAACUCCAUUCUUGUGCCAUGUUUCGUGGACUUCUCGGUCAUGAAUAGUCGUUGGAGCCUCGGUAUGAUUGGAAGGUGUCAUUGGAUUUUCAUGGGGACCUCAAGCUGCUCCUUCUGGCCAUCACCUUUGUCUAUCUCCAUAUACUACCUAGAGGAUUUAUACUUUGGACAAUACUUUGCGUCCUUGUGUUCUUUUCUAAAUAGGACGCACCCCUUCAGACAAGCAUGUAUCUGCUCAAACGACAUCUUAAGUGCACGAAGGAGUGAAAGGAUCUAAUUGGCCUAGAGGGGGGGUGAAUAGGCGUAUCUUAAAAACCUGAAACUCAAAAGCUCAAGUUGCGGAAGUUAAAUGCCUGCCGGUACUACCGACAGUUUGGGCCGGUACUACCGGUGUAAGACAGCCAGUACUACCGACGCAACUGUUGGUACUACCGACGCCCUAUGAGAGCUACGAAAUCAAAGUAGAUUGAGUUUUGAUUUCAGAUCUGAGAGUUACCCCACUCUCCUAGAUGUAGUAGAGGAUGAUGUUGAAGUUCCCUUGGCUCGGUUCUUCUCCAAAACGUAGAUCGGCCCUUGUUCACCUAUGAAAGGGAGUAGAGAGGAAGAACACGAAGAACACAAGAACAAGGGUAGUCGAUGCUACCUCCACAGCAAGACAAGAUAUUUUUUCCGAGGUUCGGCAAUCCCCACGAAGGAGUUCCUACGUCCCCGUUGUUGAGGUGACCACGAAGGUCCGACCACUUAGGUCUCCUCCCUCAAGCAACCACACAGGUUAGCUCAAGAUUUCCACUAAGAAUCAAGGGGUUAUACAAACACUUCGUGGUGCCCUCACAAAUGAAUCAACACGGGCAACCACGAAGAACGCCUAGCCGGCUAGGGUUCCAAGAACCCAAAAGUAACAAAUGCAAACCAAACCGGCAAGACGAAAAAUCCAAGUGCUCAAGUCACAAAUCGAAGCUCUCAACUCUCUAAUCUCACUUCUCUAGCUCGAAUCUCUCACGGAGUGAAGUGUAGGAGCAAAGAGGGAGAGAGAGUGGGUGAGACAAAGCUUGGAGACAGAUUUCUAGAUGUAGAGUUGAAGGAAUGGGAGAGCUUACGGUCAGAAAUGAGGGAAGAGCUAUUUAUACAUAGGUCCUGAACAACUGCCGGUACUACCGGGGCAACCACCGGUACCACCGGCUACCUCGGAUCUAACGGUAAGAAGUCUCUAGGAUUUGCGAGAAAUAAGCCUACCGGUACCACCGGGCUUUUGUUGGUACUACCGACCAUUGCCGGUACCACCGGUGGAAGGCCGGUACCACCGGCAGUUCAAAUCUCCGCAAUCAAAGUCAGCGCAGAUUUGGCCUGCCGGUACUACUGGUGCUGGCCGGUACCACCGGCCCGAGCCCGGUACUACCGGUAGUUCAUUUUCUCGCAAAACUCAAGAGAAAGGCUGGCACUGCCGGUACCACUGGCCCUGAGGGUUGGUACUACCGGGUCACCCUGGCAGAGAAGAAAUUUCCUAGGGCUUCGUGCGUGCAAGUGUGUCUCUCAAGCGCAAGAAGUAAAUUGACCUGAGCACCCUUAUCCUCAUCUUACCAACUUGAUUUGCAUCCCUCUUGAUAGUGCGGCGUUUCCUAUAACUCAAACAAAGAAUAAAAACUUUGUAGCCACUUGAGUCAAAACAUCGUUCAUCCAUUAGAAAUUUAGGGGUGCUAUAAUUCACCGAAUGUUUUCGUUCAAUUCCAUCAAUGGACUAACACCUGUAGAUUAUGCUCGAUAAACAUGUUAGUCCCUAAUUUGGUUGUCAUUAAUUAUCAAAACCCACAUCGGGUCGAAUGCACUUACAAGGAGUCUGUGUGACUCGUACAAAUUCUUUGGUAGAAUGCGGCCCUCUGGAAGAAACCCCCAAUAACUACCAACAUAUCAUCGAAGCAUGCUCGACUCAUGUUGUACUGAGACUUCAACCUCAUUAGGCUUCCAAUGGCAUCCAGUUGAGAAAUGGUUGCCUUCUCGUGUAGGAGCUUUUGUGUUGAAGACAACAUGUCGUAGAACGCCUUUAUGGUUGGCUCUGGCUCCUCCUCCACCACCACCUCCUCCUCCUUCGUGGGUCUUUUAGCGAAGUGUCCUUGGUGAAAGUCAUCUAUCAUGUAUGCUACCCCGACAUCACCAUCAAACGCCUCCAAGAGUGGUCUCACCACGUCCUCUCUAAUACGAUGGGCUUCACCAUGGUACACCCACCGGAUAUAGUUUGGCAUAAAUCCAAACUUGCAAAGAUGUUCCUCCAUGACCUUCCUUGUUUUUCUUUUCUUGUUUCCGCGAUCACUGUAGGGACAGAACAUGUCUUUUGCUCCUUUUAGCAGCCUUGCCAAAUGCUUGAUCCAAGAAUUUAUCGGUCGUGUCCAUCCAUUCAACACUGACCCAAUCCCGACCUAGGGUGGCUUGUGUACAUCCAUUCACGGUCAUCCAUUCUCUAGCAUAUACAUAAGUGAGUAAUAUAACCAUUCAUUGCAUCUACACGGCGUUGCUACUAUCUAAUGGGUGAGGAUAGGUCCUAAUCCCACCUGUCGAUGCAUAUAUUGGUUAGUUUCCAUGAUUUGCUCCAAUCUGAGACCGAGUUUUAGCACCACCUCCCCGCUGUUGAGAAAAGAGAAGGCCGAGAAAGAGAGGAGGAGGAGUCCAAUUGCCAAACCUCGGCAAAGGGUGACUGUGGCUUGUGGCCGUCACCUGAAACCACCUUUGUCAAGGCACUCGGCAAAGAUAUGCUUUGCCAAGUGACUUUCUAUGCUGAGUUUCUGGCUCUCGGUAAAGCCGCCUUUACUGAGUGCAACCUUUGCCGAGAGUUGGCACUCACUAAAAAGCCUCUUUGCCAAGGACCUGAUUUUUGGCGCUCGGCAAAAAAGCAAGCACCUAGCAAAGAGCUGCUAUCAGGUCAUAAUAAGCUUGAAUCCCAUACGAAACAAGGACAUAAGUGUAGUUUGGGAAGUAAAACAACGGGAAGGAAGAAAUUCUUGAUUGUCUAGGUAGUUUGGGAGAGGUGGGUGAAAAAAUGGAUGGAGGAAGAAAUUCUGUUUAAUAUUAGGUUUAAAUAUAGGUGACUUUUUUUAGAAAAAAAAACACGUUGGGUCCUUAAAUUUCUCUCUCAUUCUUAUCCCGAUCUGUGGUAGCUUCAAAUGAUCACCUUGAGUCCUUUAAGAUUUCAAGUGGUUUAUUCUAAAUUUAUUUUAGAUCCAAUCAGAGAUGAAAAUAUGGAAAAGUUUAGAUACCCACCAUGCAUUUCGCUUUUUUUUCCUCAAAGAAAAAGGAACGACCCUCGUUGGGCCGGAGCGUGGUACGAAUUUGGGGCUUUUCCGAAUGUAGUAAUUCGAACCCCAAAUUCCGUUGACAAACGGUGGCCUUUUUCGCUGUGAAGGACGUGGCCCUGCUCCGGUGCUCCCCCGAGCUCCCCGGCUCCUGUCUCGAAUGCGCCCACGUACCCGACGACGCCCGCCCCGCAACCGCAAGGCCGCAACCGCGCAUGCACCCACGUAACGUACCCUCCGCGCUCGACGCCCGUCCGACCGUCCGACAUCCCCCCCAUGGCGCCCCCACCACCGCUCCACCUCCGCCGCUACUUAUCCCUCACCUCGCCCCGCCACCGCCCCCGCCCGCGCCCCUCCCCUUCCCCUGCUCCUCGACCACCUCGCUCACCGAGAGAGCUUCGGCUCCGCCGACGACGACGCCGCGCCGCCACCUCCACAUGGCGGACGACGCCGUCGUCGCCGGAGCGGCCGUUCACUGCGCACGGCCGGCGCCGGCGCCGCUGCUUGCUUCUAGGAGGCACCAGCAGCAGCAGCAGCAGCAGGUCGACGACGCCGGCUGCGGCGGCAGCAGCGACGACCACUACCAGCAGGACGUGAUCAGGCUGAGGCGGACGAGGAGCGGCCGGGCGUUCCCGCCGCCGAUCUCCGUGAUCGGCAAGGGCGGGCGGCCGUGGCUGAGCCUACGGGCGCACCGCGAGGGUGGACGCCUCGUGCUGCGGGAGAUGCGCCUGCCGUCGCAGGAGCUGCCGCUGCAGCCCUGCAAGGAGGACGGCAGGUUCAAGCUCCUCAUCCACCCGGAGGCCCGCGCGCGGCCGUGCGGUGCGGGGGCGGCCGCCGGCACCGCAGGAACGGCAAGGGAAGGAUAGAUGAGCAGUGCUCUUGAUCAGCUGACCAGAUGAUGAUCUGCCGCCACACCCACACGUCGUUGUCUACUCUUGUAUAUAUGGGCUGCAGGGCUGAGAUAAAACCGGUAGAUCUCCCUGUUUAGUUCUUGUGUGAGAGGGCUAGCUCGAGCUAUCUUCUGCUUUGCAUCCUGCAACCGUUGUCCACAAUCUUUGCCUUCCGUCAAGUUUUAAUACAUCAUGGACGGAACAUUGAGGCAUUUCUUUGGUCUUUAAUUUGUCUAUUCGCGUUCAGCACUUUACACUGUGCGCGUGUUGUCUGCUUUCAUCUGGUGCGUGCGUUGCAUGGGAACGCUCCACACAGCCAACCGCUGAAUUACAUCGACUGCAAUCACAAAAGAAAUGGUUUUAUUAGCGGAGCUAGAGUAAAUAUGAGGGGAUGUGCUUACCUUGUCAGUACUUUGAAUUUAUCGUAUGGGUACGAAUAUGAUAAAAAUUUGAUCAUAAUCAUUAUUUUAUAUGAUAAAACUCAACUAAUGAGACUCAUAAUAGAUGUCUAUGAAAUUUUUAGUUACAUACUCCAAACCAUCCAACUAAGUUUUAGUUAUAGAGAUGCAAACGGUUUAUGCUGCGAAUCUAUAUAUAGACUUAAUUGCAGGUAAACCACGACAAAAAUUGAACCUAUAUAUAGGUUCACGGGUAAAUCCAUUUGCUUCUCUAUUUAGUUGAUUAUAAAUUUUGGAUAACUAAGUUUUAAUUAAACUUAGUCCUAGACAAUCAAGAACACCUAGGCCAAUUUUUUUAAAAAAAUAAUAUGAAAGUUGUUUGCCAACUAACAAACAAUAGUAAAUUGGAUCUUGAUUGGUAGAGCUCCGAUUCUUCUAUGCACGGUAGCAAAAAGUCCUUUUAUUUCUCCAGCAAAAAGUAUUUUUAUUUCUCCUCUUGAAAUAGACAUGGAGCCAUAAAAAUCACUACUUUUUUCCAGCGUUUUCAACUCCUAUGCAUAAUGUACCAAAAAGCCAAAGUCGUAGAGCCGUAGCGAAUGGUGAACAUUAGCAUCGCCAAUCCGUGACUAUGCUAUAAAAUUGUUGGGCUUGUGGUCACGGCUAAACCCUAACUGCCCCCUCUCAAUUUGUGUCAUGAGCUGUUAAAGCAUCUUCAAUUGUUUUUAUUAAACUUAUUUUUCUAAUUCUUGCUUAGAGAGUUAUUAUAAUAAAAAUAAUUUUUAUAUCUCUCCACCCUCUCAAACUUCUCUUUAUCUUGCUCUACCUCUAUUUUAAUCCUUGGCGAGCGAAAAAUCAUAAAUAGAGGAUGAAAAUAUUUAGAGAUCUAGCUUAAACAGGUUGUUGGAGUGAACUUUUUCAUCGAAAUCUCUAUAUCUAUAUUUGAAGAGUCAUUCAAUAAAUAUUCUCUUUGUAUCUAUCGUAUGAAAAAAAAUCUAAAGAGGUCACCAUACAUUUUAUUUAAAGAGUUUCAAAAUAAAGAGUAGUAAAGAAGGAUAAUUUUGAAUACGGUAAUGAUACUAUGUGGGCGUCCGUCCUGUCCGGGCGCCGCGCACUUAGGCUUGCGGCCCAAUUAAACAAACACACCCGAACCAACUCACCUAUCUCCGUUCUUGUUCCUUAUACCUUUCCUCGAGUCGAAUUCCCACAGCGCUCGUGACAUUCGGCUCGCCCUCUCCUCCUCCGGCUCUUCCACUCACUCGCUCUACUCGCGCGCUACCGUGCCUCCCCUCCCUCCAUGACCUCCAAGCCACCAGAGAGGAGGGCGACAUCGACGGCUUCCGGCGAGCCCCCUUCCUCCCUUUCUCCCUCCCUCCAUCUCUAUCACGACCUCAUGUCAUCAGAGAGUGAAAGGUCCUAAUAUGGCUAGAGGGGGGGGUGAAUAGCCUAUUUAAAAAUUCUACAAACUCACUAGAGCAAGGAGUUAGUAAAUAACAAAGCGAAGCUUUUUGCUCUAGCUCUAAAGGGGUGUUUGCAAGCCACCUACCCAACAAUUCUAGUUGAUAUGAUCACUAUGCACACAAGAACUAAACUACACAAGGCAAAGUAAGCAACUAAACUAAUUACACUAGUUUACGGUAAGUAAAGGAUAGGAUGAGAUAUUUAUACCGUUGUGUAGGGGAUGAACCAAUCACCAAUAUAAACAAUCAAGCACCGGGAGAAUGCCAAUCAAACACAAUUGAGACACCAAUUUUUCUCCCGAGGUUCACGUGCUUGCCGGCACGCUACGUCCCCGUUGUGUCGACCAACACUUGGUGGUUCGGUGGCUAAGAGGUGUAGCACGAACCUCGUCCUCACUAGGACACCACAAGAACCUACCCACAAGUGAGGUAACUCAAUGACACGAGCAAUCCACUAGAGUUACCUUUCGGCUCUCUGCCGGGGAAGGUACAAGACCCCUCACAAUCACGGGAGAUGGCCACGAACAAUCACCAACUCGUGCCAAUCCUCCUCCGCUGCUCCAAGCCGUCUAGGUGGCGGCAACCACCAAGAGUAACAAGAAAACCGCAGCUAGAACGAUCCCCAAGUGCCACUAGAUGCAAUCACUCAAGCAAAUGCACUUGGAAUCACUCCCAAUCUCACAAAGAUAUUUAAUCUAUGAAGGAGAUGAGUGGGAGGUGUUUGCUUAGGCUCACAAAGAUGUUAUGUAUGCUAGAAUGCCAAGAGUGUAAGCCCCAAGCCGACCAAACACGUAUUUAUAGCCCCUCAAGCAAAUAGAGCCGUUGGCUCUUUUACUGGGCAAACUGCGGGGUCACCGGACGCUCUUAAAGGGGCACCAGACGCUCAACACCAGCGUCCGGUGCUCCAACAUCAGCCGCGUGUCAGAGUCUAACGGUAACCUGCAGAGCACCGGACGCUUGAGCAAGUUAGCACCGGACGCGUCCGGUGCACACCGGACUCAUGCGUAGAGAGUUUCGCAAACCUGCGGGUCACCGGACGCUAGCCACCGGACGCACCCUGAGCGUCCGGUGCUCACAGGACUCGUGCGCAGAGAGAGUCGCCAAGACGCCUGCACACCGGACGCGCACCACCGGACGCUCAAGCCAGCGUCUGGUGCCUAUCGUCCGGUGCCUUACCCUAGCUGGGCUAGGCACUGUCUGCACCGGACGCUCAGACUUAGCGUCCGGUGCCUCAGUGGCCAGUGUCCGGUGAGUGUUUUCUCAGCGAAAAACACUCCCGCGACUUCUCUAAAUUUCCCACCGGCGCAAUAGAAAAUAUGCACUUCAUUUUCUCAAAAAGCGCCGAAUCCCGCCGAGCUUGGAACCCAUCCUCUCUCUACCUUUGAAACUCCACCUCCUUCUCAAAGUGUGCCAACACCACAACGUGUGUACCAACAAGUGUGCUCGUGUGUUAGCAUUUUCACAAACAUUUUCUUCGAAGGAGUUAAGUUAGCUCACUAGGUUCUAAAUGCAUGCACAUGAACAAUUACACCUAGUGGCACUUGAUAACCGCUUAGCCAAAGAAUUCCCCUCUUUAUAGUACGGUUAUCUAUCCUAAAUGUGAUCACACCCUCUAUGGUGUCUUGAUCACCAAAACCAAAAUCCUAAGCAAUACCUUUGCCUUGAUCUCCAUAGGGUUUUAUUUUUCUCUUUCUUCUUUUCCAAGUUGAGCACUUGAUCAUCUUGUGGUCAUCACCAUCAUCACCAUGAUCAUCACUUGCUCCAUCACUUGGCAUGUACCAACCUCAUANNNNNNNNNNNNNNNNNNNNNNNNNNNNNNNNNNNNNNNNNNNNNNNNNNNNNNNNNNNNNNNNNNNNNNNNNNNNNNNNNNNNNNNNNNNNNNNNNNNNNNNNNNNNNNNNNNNNNNNNNNNNNNNNNNNNNNNNNNNNNNNNNNNNNNNNNNNNNNNNNNNNNNNNNNNNNNNNNNNNNNNNNNNNNNNNNNNNCUAGAUGUUGCAGGGUUUCAGUCAUUGUUGGGGUACUGUUUUUUGAUACGUUGUUUCAGUUUUUGAAAUCUACAUGUUGUCGUAGUUUGUUGCCUGUUGUUGCAGCAGUUGUCGGGUGUUGUUGUUGUGGUUGUUGUUGUAUGUUCAUUGUGUUUCAACAGCUGCAGCCAAAUGUUUCAGCUGUUUUUUCUUGUUUGUUGCAAUAAUAUGUUCAAGGUGUGUUUCAACUUCAUCAUCCCAGUGUUGGAACCGUUGUAUUUUUUUUGUUGUUGCACUUUUAUACGUUCAUGGUGUUUCAACUGCUAUAAUUUAUUAGUGCAGUAGUUCGUCGGGAGUUGUUGCAAUAUCAUGUUUAUGGUGUUUCAAUGUCUUCAUCCUUAUGUUGCAUUGUACAGGCGGGGGAGGGGGAGGGGGGGAGGGGAGCUGUGGUGGUGACUUGGCAGUAGGUAGAUGUGAUUGGGGGCCAACAAGACUAGAGACGGCGAAUUCCGUGCGUGGCGGGGAGUGGGACGGGUCUGAAGGAAUUUCUAGCCCACGUGCGGGGCGAGUGGGGGCAGGGCAGAUUCAAAGGAAGGGCUUUUCUCCUCCCGUGUGGAGCGAGCGGGAGCCGGGUGGGUUCGAACUUUCCAUGUGGAACGAGCAGGAGCCGGGUGGGUUCGAACUUUCUAUGUGGAAUGAGUAGGGCUGACAUGUUCCUUUAUUCUUUUCGAUUGGGGCGAGCGGGGCUACCUAAAGCACUAGCGUCUGUUUGGGCGCUAGCACGACCGUUUUGUAUAGCAAAAAAAUCAGGCAUAGACAUUGGUGACGACGGAAAAUCCAGCCUGUAUCCACCCCACCCCCAGGGGCGGAUCUCCACCUAGGGCCACUAGGGCCUUGGCCCUACUUGUGGACCAAAAUCUCUUAAUACUCAUUUUCAAUUUUUUGGAUUAUAUUCAUCACCAUAGACUGCCUCGAUCAUCCUCUCUCAUCUCUUGCUUGUGCUCGCUUUGUAGUGUGUUACUCCUUCCUGGUUCUCUCACGUUUUCAAUCCCAGCUCAUAGUGUACUCCAGGACAUUGUGGUUGGCUUUGUUGUUCUUUUCUAGCUAAGCACGUCCUUCUUUGCAGUUAUUAGCAAAGACAUAAUUCUAUCAUUCCAACCAAACACAAUAAUAGUUAUUCCAUCCCUCUUCCACGCUCUCCAACCAAACGCACCCUAGAUGACCGAGCGCGAGUGGAUUUUUUAUCCACUUUCAUGUUAUGGAUUUAAGUUUGAAAUUAAGAUUUUUAUCUCGAACUAUGUAUUUAUAAGCUACUUUUGUUAUCUAUCGGUAUUAGACUUGGUACAGCUGAUAUCUUGAUUCAGCGUAAACGGUGUGUGUGCUUUAUUAGUGGCCCUAGACGUCAAAAUUGACGAGCUCCGCCACUGCCCACCCCAUACUAAUUGUUGUAAACUUUCUAAACCACUCUAAUCCAAUGAUAACGCACAUGAACCCAACCCAACCCAUUAACAAGUUACACCAUCGGGUUCCCCACCCAUUUGCACAGCACUGCUAAAGCAUCAACGACAGGAAACAAAUCUAUGCUUGCUGCUCUGCACCACUAGCUCCCUCGCACAGUCCCUCGCAUCCGCGUCCAUGGAUUUUGUCCCAUGCAUUGCAAAGCCUAUUCCAAUCCACGUGGUAGCAAACUCAACCUGCUGUUUAAGCAAACCUGUUACAGCCCACAUCCAAAGCCGACCUGUUUCUAACCCCAACCCAAAUAACCCAUUUCGACCCAACCCAUUAGCAGGACGAGGUGACGUGGCGCGUCAGCAGUUCAGCUUUCUGUCCGUCCUGGUGCCGGCGACGUCGCAUCUUUCUCCCGCACCUUCGGAUCGUAUGCCACUUCAGACGCCAUGGCCGUGGCUCCGCCUCUCUCCACCCUCGUCUCCCGAACUCUAACCUCAAACCCGUACCUCCCGCCGCGGACCCACGGUGGCGUGGCUCAUGCGCGGACGCGGGCUCUGAUCCCGACACCGGCUGCGGCGUGCGCCUUCCGUUCCAGUUCCCGUGUUCGCGCCACCGCCAGUGGCGCGAAGCCCCCGCCGCCGCCGCCGCUGCUGCCGCCUUAUCCUCUGGCCGAUGUCUUCCCCUACAUUACCGCCGAGUGGGAGACCGUCGCGAAGGGUUGGGCGUGCGCCGCCGUCGCCGUAUACUGCCUCUCCCGCGCCGUGCCCGCCGCGGGGCGCCUGCCGCGCGCGCUCGCCAGCGGCGGCGGCGGCGGCGGAGGGGGCGCGGCUGUUGAGGUGGCGGCCAAGGGCGGGGUCACCCUCGCUGCGGUCGCAUCGGCGCGCGCCGCCGCCGCGUACGCGCAACAGGCGUUCCUCUGGGAGGCGGCGCUGCGGGCGGCGGGGCGGCUCCGGGAGCGCGCCUUCGAGCGCCUCCUGGAGCGCGACCUCGCGUUCUUCGAGGGCAGGGGAGGGGUGGCUACGGGCGACAUCGCGCACCGGAUCACCGACGAGGCCGACGAUGUCGCGGACGCCGUAUUCUCCGUGCUCAACGUGAGGUUGCUAGAGCCUUGCAUUCGUCCUUAGUUCUAUCUGUUGCCGAUUGACUCGCACUCGCUACAGUGAACAACAAACCUUUGUAGAAAUGCCUUCUUAGAUGUGUAGAUUGCCAUGUUUGUUAGUUUUAUGGAAUGUAGGUUAGCUGUUUGAGGAAAUGCCUGCAUAGCAGUUAGUUAAUUGUUGAUUUGGUAGUCUGGAGAUUCAAAAUUUGAACUUUCUGAAUUUGAGUUUUUUUUUCAGAUUUUCACUACCACUAGUAAGCAUCUGGUUACCAGUUAAAUUUUCACUAAAUUUGAUUGCACUUUCUGAUCUUCAAAUAUGUUGAUUACUUCUUCAAUCAUGGAUGCAAAAACCUCCAAAAUAACAUAAGAGCAUCUCCAACAAUCCCCCAAUAUGACCCCUCAUCCCUAUAAAACGAUGAUAUUGGGAGAGAUGAUCACUUUUUCCUUCUCCAACAAUCUCCCAAUAUGGCCCUUUUUUUAUGGUGGCCACCAAAAAAGCACACAUCUCCCCUCAAAUGAAGGGGAGUUGCAUCUCCCCCAAUAGCUUGGACCCACCACAACUGUCUGUUCUUCCUCCUUUCUCACCAUUGCUGCGCCGCAAACGAAGGAGGAGAUGUGGUCCCAAUGGGAGGAGAUGAAAGAAAAAAAGAAAACAGAAAAAAAAUAAAUUGGUAGUGACAAGUAGGUCCCACAUACUGGGGGAGAUUAUUAGAGCAACUCCAAGAGUUCACCAAAAAUUUACCCUCCCAAAAUAAUAUGUUGGGGGUCUGCAAAAUAUUUCUUUUCCCAAAAUCAAGUCCUCCUACAGCAGUUCUCCAAUAUUUUCGAGUUCUACCACAUCGCAAUUAGUAGGAUUGAGAUCAGAAUAGUUGGAUCGGUGGCACUGCACCUACAUUUCCUUGGUUGAGAACAAACUAUAUCAUCAAGUUAGCUAGGUUUGGCCUUUGUUUUUUUUCAUGCAAAUAUUUAAGCCACACAUGGCAAUAAAAUAUUGGCAGCUGGUGAUAUUUCCUUGUUUUUUUAUUUGCUUCGUUGUUGCCGGCAGCAAUCACUGGCCGAGGAGUGCCACACGUAUCGCUGCCCUCACGAGAGACCCACACAGAGUAGCCAGCCAGUGAAUUUGCAUGCACGGGAGAGAAUUGGGGAGCUUCAGCGUGUUGCAGAUAUGAGGGCCGCGGGGGAGAAAUUUGGGGGAGCGGUAAUUUUGGGAGAAACAAAGGGGAGCUGUUGGAGACAAAAUUUACACCUCAGUUUCUAAAAUUUCGUUUUGGGGCUGUGGUUGGGCAUCUCUUGGAGUUGCUCUUAGUGAUCUGCUGUAGCACCUCCCCCAAUAAGUUUAGAAAAUGAUAUUGGGCCACCCCAAUACCAUCUUAUUGGGAGAGUUGUAUUGGGGAGCUGUUGGAGAUGCUCUAACUUACUAUGGCUGCUGUAGUGGUAACAGUCGAGUGUCCAACUCCCCGCCAGUUGUGCUGAUGCAUGGUACUUUGCACAUAAAUGGAUUCUGACUACUAAUUUGACACAGACGAUUGUGCCGACAAGCUUGCAAUUGAUAACAAUGUCCAUUCAGAUGGUGACAAUCAAUCCCAUGCUCUCAUUGCUUGCAGCAACGGUAGCCAAGUUCACAGUUCAUAUUGUUGUUUCAUAAUCACUUCUGUUUGCAUUGUUUAAUUUCCAUUGUAUAAACAGGUAAUUCCAUGCAUGUGCUUCGUCAUAGUCAACCUUGGUAAAAGACUUCGUCAAAUAUCCAAGGAGGCGCAUCUUAGCCUCGCCAUGCUCACAGCAUAUCUCAACGAUGUCUGGUUUAGUCGUAAUUAUUUGUUCGCUUGCAUAUGAAAAAUAAUCAACGGUUGUGCAAGGGCCUCUAUUUACAACUUUAUGAAUUUCCUUUGUAGGUACUUCCGUCUAUGCUCACUGUGAAGGCAAACAAUGGGGAACUUAAGGAGAUGAUGAGAUUCCAAAAGUUAGCUCGUGUUGAUCUAAAGAAUAAUUUGAGUAAGAAGAAAAUGAAGACUCUUAUACCUCAGGCUGUUCGAGCAACAUACAUUGGGGGCCUGCUUAUGCUUUGUGCUGGGUCAGUAGUUGUUUCAGGCACAUCCUUUAAUGCUGAAGAGUUUCUGUCUUUUCUGACAGCACUUGCUCUUGUUGUGGAACCUAUUCAGGUCAGUUGAACAUUUACACUAAUUAGUUUCCUAUUGUGUAUGUUGCUUUCUCACCUUUUUUUUUCUUGUAUGAGAAGUUACACACUUACACUACCUAUUUUAAAACAAAAUGGAUAAACAUAUGCAAUUAUGCAAAUAAGAUAAUUGCAUGGAUUGUAAAAUUGUAUUAAUAAAUUUCAAGUACGCCUUGCACAGUGAUAAUGUUCAUGCAAUUCGGUUUCCUAGAUAAUUACAAAGUUCCUUUCUCCAUCCAAUGGGAGCAUUGAGCAUCUUCCCCGGAAGACUUCGUCUCAUGUAUAGGAAUUAUCAAAGGGUGUUUGCAUUGAAAGCUGAAGAGAUGGUUAUUGUUUUUUUUUCUCGAACAUGCAGGAGAACUGUGUAUCAUUAUAUUAAGAAGAAUAAAAAGGGGGAAAAGAAACCCCAUACAACACCACAUGCUCACGCCUUGGACUCUAAGAGAUGGUUAUUGUGUUUGAGAAAAGUUUCAAAAAUUAUAUAGAAUAUGUGAUAUUACAUUUACCUUCGUUCCUAAUGUUUUCUUGCAUGUAGUCAUGUGCCACUUCUUUUGUAUUAAGAAUGAUCUUGAUUAGUUCUAAUUGCAGUUUGUUCAAAUGCAUAGGACGCAGGGAAGGCAUAUAAUGAAUAUAAGCAAGGACAACCAGCAUUAGAACGCAUAUUUGAUCUUAUGAGGUUCAAGCCUGAGGUAUCACUAUCUCUUGUUUCUUAUUGAUUGAUUUUUCCUUUUUCAUUAUAUUAUAAGAAGGUAUUUGGUAACCUAUACUAUCCAAAACUAUAUUGAUCUAUUCUCAAUACAAAAGAAAAAUCUUGAACAUGCAGGAGAGGUGCAUUGAAAUAGAGACAAUGGUUCAUUACACAGUAGUGAGAAAAACCUGGACGAGCCAUCGACUAAAUCAAUUCACAGUAGUAACACAUCUGGAGGCCGAAUCACCUAAUAGAACACAAACCUGCUUAGCAAAUAAAAUUAUAUUUUUUCAAAAAAAAAACUUGGCUGGUGGCAGUAAGACCUCCCCACGUGAUUAUACUAGCUGAGAAAAAACCCAAACCCCAGCUCCACCCUAUGGGAAGAUCACAUUGCAACUGAGCCCAAACCAAACCACAAGCAGACGUCACCAUAGGCCGGCACCUGGCAUUAUUUUUGUUGGAUUGCCAGCGAGGGUUUUUUUUUUUGCCACGAGGAUUUUAACACUGGUUGGUGUCUUUGUUAACAGAACACGCUUUCCCCCUCUUAAUGAAAAAAGUGCUUAGGCACGGUCGCUAAAAAAACAGAACACACUUUCCUAGCAAAUAGCCAAAUACACAGGUAGUUAAGCGGUGAUGGGUAGACUCAUUAGUUUGUUCACAAAGCGAGUAUGUCUCCAGGUGAUGAAGACAUCUUCAAGCUAAACGGUGAGCUGUUCAAUAGAGGUUAUAACCCAUCGGCCUGAGUAACAAUUUGCAUUUCAUCGGAGCCCAAGUUUUUUUUUUUGUCGAACAUGCCGGAGAUUGGAGCCCAAGUUUAUAAUUUAUAUUUCCAAAACUCAAAAACUAAUGGAUCCAUAGAAGAAUGUGUUGUAUGCAGAUUUUGCCGAAUAAACACCUGACUUCGAGAAGUUCCAGCGGCGUUGAUAUUAACUCACGAUAUCCCAAAUGUCUAGAUAUUCCCAAAGCAAUGACAGAAGGUGCUCCACUAUAUCCUCUACCCAAAUGGCAGAAGGAGCUUGUAGACUAUUCGUUUAGGAACAAGGGCUACUGGAUGAGAGGCAAUCUCAAAAACCGUCUGCCCCUCUAACCAUCUAUCCAACCAAAAUGAAUUGCUGCCAUUGCCCACCAGGGAAACCAUCAAGAUGAAAAUGGUGCCUUAACAUUGGCACAGAUCAGCAGCUCAAAACCCACGGUUUGUCUGGCUGUGUUUUUUGAAGCCACAGCCAGUGCAAGCGUAGGGCCCAACCAAGGGUUGUUAGAUCAUGAAUGCCAAGUCCUCUAAGCUCCCAUGAUUGAUAAAGUUUUGGGAAAAAUUAAACAAUAGCCGCCAUUGGCCUGUUCCUUUCCCUUCCAUAAGAGCCCAUGGCAAAUUUUGUCGAUAGCCUUGAUUACUCUUCCCAGGAGAUCUGCAGCAUAUUUAACUUUUUUUUUUGCGAAGAUUUAACUAUUUUAUUUUGUAUAAGCUGAUCGGGUUCUUUUAGCUAUCCUAUGUGGUACAUUGUUUUCUUGUUUCUCUCUAGUGAUGAGUCACUUCCUGCUUUGUGUUUCUAGGUGACUGAUAAGCCAAGGGCAAUUCAUUUACAAAGUGUUAAUGGGGACAUUAAGUUCCAUGAUGUUACAUUUAGAUAUGUUGAUGGCAUGCCUCCAGUAGCAGAUGGUGUGAAUCUUCAUAUUAGACCAGGAGAAAUAAUUGCUUUUGUUGGACCUUCUGGUGGAGGAAAAACUACUCUUGCCAAAUUACUCCUCCGUCUUUAUCAUCCACAAAGUGGUAUUGAACUAAACAGCAGUAAAAUACUGAGCAGAUUUUGUAUAAAUCCUGUACAUGUCUUCGCUUUUACCUUAAGCUCAAGAUCUCACAUUUCCUUUUUUUGGUCAUUUAAACUGUAUAGUUUCUUAUAGCAUGGAUUUAAUUCUGUUUACUUGUAGGGUAUAUACUUCUGGACAACCAUGAUAUUCAGGACAUUCAAUUGCAAUGCUUGAGAACACAUAUUGCUUUUGUUUCACAGGACACUGUAAGUCUGGUGCAUGCAUCAUGUCCCCCUCUAUUGCUGUCUCCUCAAAUGCUGUUAUCUUCCCAGAUUAGAUCCUUUGUAAAUGCAGACACGUGCAAAUAGAAUGCAAGUCAUAUUUUAAAGAUUUUAUAGUUUGUUUUCUAUUGUGAAACAGUAUUGUCCUGCGGUUAGAUCAUUGUAUCGUGUGAAUAGCAGAGAUAGAAAGCAAGUAAUAUUUUGGUGUCAACCGAUGGAUAAAUCUAUUAUACUAAGUCGUUUGAGUUCUUGAUCAGAAAUUGUGCCUUCAAGUAUGGAACUCUUAGUAUUUCAUUUUGGCGAUUGUUCUGCAGCUCACACUCUCAGUGCUUGAAAUGAUAUUUUGUAAAUCUUUCAUACGCACUUCUAAUGAAAAAGUAGUCCAGUAGUGCUGAAUCAUCGAGACAAGAUACAAUCCUAAGUAUCUUUGAGUUUUGCAUGUAGAGUUAUGUAUGUCCAUCAUUAUCAUCGUGUUCCUGCAUUAUUCAUUUCUUGUUUAUUUCAUAGAUGCUAUUUUCUGGGACAAUUGCUGAAAACAUUGCUUAUAGAGACCCUGUGGGAGAUAUUAACAUGAAUAGGGUUGAGUAUGCUGCUAAGAUUGCCAAUGCUGAGGAGUUCAUUAAGAUGUUGCCAGAAGGAUACCAUUCAAAUGUGGGACAGAGAGGUUCUAGUUUGAGCGGUGGACAGAAGCAAAGGUAAAAUGCUCCCUUUCCAGUUUUCAUACUACCUUGUAUCACAAGCUAAACAAGUGAAACAUGUUGAUCACACACCAUCUAGUAUCCUCUUUAUACCAGAACAGAUCCAUUUAAUGUGUGCAGUGUGUUUCUAUCCGCAGGUUAUCUAUUGCCAGGGCAAUCUAUCAGAAUUCUUCCAUAUUGAUAAUGGAUGAAGCAACUUCUGCUUUGGAUAUCAGAUCUGAGCUGCUACUGAAAGAAGCACUUAGUAAUCUAAUCACAAAACACUCGGUCACUGUAAGUUUUUGUAUAUGUAGUCUGACCAUUCCUGCAUUGGCAUGCUUUCCACUAUCAAUAUAUUGCUGUGAUUUGAAUACAGGUUAUCAUCAUUGCUCAUCGACAGGAGAUGGUCCUAAUGGCUGACAGGAUUAUUUCACUAGAGCGUGGUGAAUUGCGAGAGAUGUCAAAAUCGGCAUUUUUGUCUCAAGAUGAUCGCUUCAGCUCACCAAAGAUCAGGAGUCCAAAUUAGGGUGAGACUUGGCAUGGGUAAUGGUAGGUUCUCUCGUGAAGAUAUGUGCAUAUCUUUCACCAUCAAAGAAAAGGAUGGAUAGAAGAAUCACAUCUCUUGCCUGAGCCCUGCUCAUAGCUUUGGCUUCUUGGAACCUUGUUUCAUCCCAACAAAUCUGUCAACAUUAUCGAAGGUCGUCUGCUGGAGAGAAUGGCCGGCUGGCUGCCUCAACAGCAUUGCCUCCUACCUGCUGCAAGAUCCUCAACAAAAGGGAACAAAUCAAGCUAUAGGGUUUUAACAAUUUUUCCACGGCCUGUUUGGUUUACGGCCUCAUGCGAUCCUCGCCCCAAGCAACUGAAAUCGGACGUCUGAUCACAUGCCUGGGCGGCAGCUCCACCCAGGAGAGAACCAAACAGGCCCGAAUACGUUUUCUCCUUCCCCCUUUGUAUACAUGCACGACGAAGCAGUUGAGCUGUAUAUAUGCCUUCAGGCUUCCUGCCGAAAUAAAUGUAUUCGCUUUAGGGAAAAAAAUCAUAUUUUAUGCUGCCACUUGUCCACUUGUAAGAAAUCCAGAUUGGUGCUUUCAGAAUCAUCAGGUGGCAAACGCGCAAUUGAGGUAGCGACAGAAACAAUUUAAGAAAAGUAAUAUUGUUUGAGAAAAUAAAAACAUUAUUGCAACACCAAUCGCUGAAAACGAUAUCAAAUGCGUUCGAAGUACAAAUCUACAAAACUAUAGCGCAUGAGUAUUUGAAACAUCACUCGAGAAUAGUGCUGCCAGCUCAUAUGGCAUUGUACAGCUGUCUCGUUAAGGCAGGCUUUAAAACCCAUAUAGCUGUUCGGUAAAAAAAUGGCGAGCAGCAUCCAUCAAACACACAGCAUAGGCCGCCGGUAACAAGCAAAGCACUAUAACAUCACUCUUUGACUCAUGACAGUACUUCUGGGUUGCAUGGGUGGUCAUCACCCGUAAAACAUCACAGUUCAACAAUCGAGAGAGGUGACAUUGGUACUCAAAUGCUAUGCUCAGCCACUUUACUUCUAACCUCAUCAAGGAAUGAGCUGAAACCUGUGGAGCUAGGUAACAGGGAGCCAUCCAAGGUCUGAUCCUCAACAAGGUAUUUCUCGAAUUCUGUAGUGUCAUCAUGUGCUCCUUGAAUGAAAACCAGUUUGGGUGUUAUAUUCCUUUCUUGUUUUAGUCUAUCGACUGUUGAUCUCAGUAGACCUGCCAAUGUCAUUUCAAUGUUAGGACAGGAGAGGAGGCACACACUGAUAGGAUAAUGACUUAGUGAGAGUGCAUGAUGAAUGAAAGAAAAAGAUUAUUCUCACAGUCACGUGGAGGAGGAAAAGGGAUUUCGCUACUAGCUGUAGGUGAGUAAUACACCAGAAGGUCUUUGUAUGCAUCAAGAAGAAAUAUCGGCCUCUCACUGGUGAACACAGUCCGGCUUAGUGAUUGAUGUACUUCUGCUUCUACAUCGGGGGAGGAGUAUGAAAUCAAUGUAGGCCAAAUAGCCUGCCGAAGCGAAGCUGGCUCCAGUGCACUGCCCAUAAAAUAGAUGUAAACAAUAUUGAUCUAAUGUCGAUUGAAAUCGAGUUUAGAUGUUCCCAUACUAACCACCACAAAUUGAACUACCAAAAGUAAGAUGAGAUGGGAAAAAUAUCAGAAAACCAACACUUAAAUUUGAAUUAACUAGUCAGAUUAGGAGAUCAGUAAUAUGAUCCACAUAAAUUCUAAUGUAUUUACACUUUGGUUCAACUACCACCCACGAUAUAAUACAAGUUUCAUGCCUGUGGUUGCAUCAUAUUCAAGCUUACAUGCAUCACCCUUAUAAUGUGCCUCCACAUUUACUACUGUGUUUGAUAUUCCGUACAACAGUCAUCAAAUUGAAAUAUGUAAAACCAUACUUCCAUAGCUCGAUAAUAAGAAAAUAAAACAAGAAAUCUCAAUAUUUUUAAAAAAAAUGCAGCCCACAGGUGGGAUCAGAUCAAAAAAUACAUAAAUUUGUAUUUUUCCCUAGUGCUAAGUUUAUAACAAGCUAACGGUAUGCCAGAGUUACUAUUAAGGCACACAAAUAGUACCUCGGUACUUCAGCAUGAGAUUAGUCAGGUUAAGACGGAUUAGUUAGGAUGUCCUAUUGUUUGUUAGGCUCUCAUCUUAUCUAGAGUUUUCUAGUCAAGUUGUUACAGACUUACAGUUACAGUCAGGUAGUGAAGGUUUGUAUAUGGCCCCUUGCCAGCCCUUUGGAAUCAAUAAAGUGAUAAAGAAUCAAUUUAAGACUUUCCAAUUUAUAGUUGAAUGCCUCCCCUAGUAGUUGACUACACCUGGCUAUCCUCUCGGAAGUGUUUACACCUAAUGAACUAGGGUUCAUUACAGAAGAAGAGACAUUACCUCAAGAGGCAUUGCAAAUAUGUCACAUAAUCUGGAUGAAUGCCUUCACUGCUGACUUGAAGCAGGGGGCUUAAUAGAAUAGCAAACACAAACCGUGACAGAGGCUGCAGUUGUGAGCAGUGCGAGAAAUUAACAUCAAUAUUAUACAUCUCAGUACCACCUCCAGAUGUGACGUUCUUGUAUGCUUUGUUGUACUGAGCAAUGACAACUGCCAACCAAUCUUGGAGCCACAGCCUUGUUUCCAGCUCAUCACUUAACGAAGCCAAAAUAACCUGAAAAUGGAACUCUGUUUAAAUCUGAAAUUGAAUGACCUUCUAUGAAACAGAUAGGCAUGGCAAUCAUAAACACAUUUCUCUUUUUUGUUUUGUACUUUGGUCAGCAAGCUGGAAUUUGUAUUGGCAAGAGCAUAUAUAUGUUCAUAAUGCAAAGUGAAAUCAGGCAGUCACAUACAAUAUGUCCCCAUAGGGUUGUGCAUUGGUAAAUGAGAUGUUGAGUUUAAACCAUGAUAGAAUUUCUUAUCCUAAAUUAUGGUUACACUAUUUAGUCUUUACCAUGACAGUCCAACACUGAUGAAAUUCAGAUCUCUUAUUGCAUAUUAACACAAUCGGACAACGCAUUUCCAAAUAGGGGAAUUCAACAUUUGCUGGACUGAAGAAAUUCACUGCACCACUUGGUUACCGACUGUAAUUGUAGCAAAGUGGUAGUAAAGGGACACAGUUACUGCUUUGACAAUAACCAAAAUCAUGUGCUUACAACAAACAAUGAAUCAGACUUGUGCUCGAUCAACAAAAUAUUGAUAAAGAUUCUACCUGGUGUACUAGUAUUGUCAAAACAACAUCUGGAUCAACAAAAUCGUAAAGGUCCCAGAUAUUAGCAGUUGUGUUGUACUGUAUAGUCCGCACUCUUAGCCUCCUUUCCAACAAGUAUUUAGAUCUGGCAAAGGUACAUUACGUCACAAAAUAUACCAUCACCCUAUAUUUGUGUAUAGAAAUUUCUGCUAGAAUAUCAAAUCUCAAGCUACCAAUCAGAAAAUGCUUAACAAGCAAGUUGCAAACUAAACAUUACAGAAGCACACAAAGUUUACUUUGUUUAUAUUGUCUAAACUGAAAGAUGGACAUCUAGCAUAUAAGAAACAUACUCCCUCCGUCCCGAAAUACAAGUCAUUCUAGGAUUCAAAAAUUGUCUCACAAUACUUAACGUUAUAGCUCUGUGGAUGUGUCUGAUCCUACUCAACCUAUCAUCGAAACGUCAGUUCCUGUCAUCCACUCGCCAGAACAUGAAUUAAAAAGCAAAAAAAGAUGUACCGAUGCCCUCUAAAUCAUGGAGAGAUGAAUAAAAAAAUAUUUCCCAGCCGGGGUGCUGCUCACAGACUCCACGCUGCUGGAUGUGACUGUCAGCUGCAAGAUUCUUGUAUAGGGGUGGCAAUGUCUUUUUGCUUCGGCAUUGAUCUCUGUGACAAUUCCUAGAACGUCAUCUAAUUGGAGACAGAGGGAGUGCAGCAGGGUGACAAUUAAGAUUGAGAUUUGAGAAGAUUUCAGAAUAGUAAUAUUAACACUAAAAUGACUAAAACCAAAUGAUACAUAUAGAGAUUGCACAGAAAUGUGAGCACACUACUUGAACACUGGACUUGGAAACAGUAACGCGCUACUUGAAUGACUAAUCACAGACUGUAAAUAAAUAAAUGUACCUGCUCCCAGAAUUUGGAAAAUCUGAUGUAUCACCAUUGUGCACAAGAACUGUGUACUUAAAUGCAAUUUGAAUAAUAGGAGGGCUUGACUUCCUGCAGGCACAAAAAAAAUUGGCGUCAUAAGAAUUUAGAAGAUAAACUGUGCAUUUUUACAGAACAGUUCAAACUAUUUAGCCGAAGAUUUGCAGUUAUCUUGUGUGACUGAUGUAAUGGGCUCGUAGCCAUACGGUUGCACAGCAGGUUGUUUACUUUUUGCUUAUUAGCUGUUCAAAUUUGUUUCUUAUGCAAUUAAUAGUAAUUGCAAUUAACCAUUGCAACAUGUUUCUUAGACAAGUUCGUUUCAUUUUUGUAAGACACUAAGACGUAUAUGCAUAGCAUACUACUUAGGCCCUCAUAGGAAAUAUCCAGUUAUGCUGUCUUUCACCAUUGUACAAACUCCUUUUAGAUCCCAAAUGUCAGGAUAAUGUUGGAACAUCAAUUAAAAGGUUAUCAUGUUCUCAUUUCCACUAAUUAAUACUGGAAUUCUCUAUUUGCCUUAGAUAAAUUAUAGGCUUCUUGUCCUUUGAUUAGUGGUGAAACAUUCCAUACAAAAGAAAGACAAAAAAAACUAUGAAAGAAAUUAUGAGUAUAAUAUGUGGGACAUAUGGAGAAGGGUGUGACAUGUCAAUGUAUUCCAAAAUUUCUUAUUAAUUUGAUCAUUAUGGUGACAGCAAAUCGGCUUCCACUUUACCAUCUUGGCCAGGCACAAUUAAACAUGUUAUUUUGGUCUAAACUCAACUCACUGAUAGCCUCAACAGAGGCUUGACAUAUGAAAUCAAUUAAGACUUCAAUAAAGAAGGCUUAUACCCACUAGCAGUCCUAGCCUUCUAGGUCAUUCCAGCUAGUAGGGGAAAAUCUGAUUUUCUGAUACAACAACCUAAAAACAAUUUCACACAAAUAAUUACUAGUAAUGACCAAGGAUGCAGAAUAAUAUAAGUUUCUAUAUGUCAAAGCACAGAAGGGAAAUCCCAUAUUACUUAUGGUUGGGAAAAAAUGAGGGUUAAUAUUAAGUUGCAUGCACCGACCAGUUCAACCCAAAAGCUUAAGCUGAUGGGGAGAGGUGAGCAAUUCACUUAUAUUCCAACACUUCCCCUCCCGUGGAGGCUCCCUCAGGCCUCAAACGUGGAAUAAGAGCGAGCAGCAAUUAUUUUAUUUAAUUGUGCUAACCAGGAUUCAAACUCGAGACCUCUGACAUUGAUACCAUAUUAAGUUGCAUGCACCGACUAGUUCAACCCAAAAGCUUAAGCUGAUGGGGAGAGGUGAGCAAUUCACUUAUAUUCCAACAGUUAAUUUAUGGAAAGCAUAUAUUAUGGGAAAGCCUGGAAAUAGAAUGUUUGUUACCUAGAAAAUUGUGAAUCCUUUUCAAACUCAAAGUCGUAACUGUAUGUAGUAAAAGAGUCACAACAAUUUAUGUGUUGAACAUGCAUGUACUGAGGAUCUGGAAAGAAAUGGCCAUACUGUUGAACAUAAAAGAAAAUAAACAUGUCAGACACAACAUAUGAAGAAGCUGAUGUAAGUAAUGCACAUAUCCCUGAGAGUACUUACAGAAUCAGCAAUCUUGAACUGUGACGAUGUUCUCAAUCGCAUUACGCAUCCAAAAGCAUAGGGACGACUCAACAUCUUGUAUCUGAACAAAAGGCAGAUAUAAAAAAUGAGAGUACUGCACUGCUGCUUUGUAGCUACUUACUCCUUUUAAUGAUAUGGCAGAUCAUUUGUUCUUUAUCUUGUUUCAAAAUCCAAGGACCUAGAAGAAUCAAGAAUUCCCUAUCCAUGAUAGCAUCAAGUUAUUAAUGCCAUCUUAUUUAUGGGUGUGGAUUUGCCAGCCUUUACUUUCUAUCACCUUUGGUUUCGCCAUUCCAUAAUCAAAAGUGUUAUGGGACCUUAUAUGCUACUACAAGUAUAUAAAAUCAGUGCACAUAAAGAAUAUGCAGAAUGCAUUCGUGCUUUAUACAUUUUGGAUCUAUCUUAUAGCAUGGACAUCAAGGCAGCACACAACCAAGAACUAACAUUAAUUUUCAUCGUGCUGUUUGGGUUUGAGCAAUUUAACAUAAUCCAGUACUAAAACAUUGACAACAUAAUAAAAAUUUGAUAAUCUAUUAUGAGGGACAGCUCUCCACUAUUGGUAUAAAGAAGAAUAGCCUAAGCAUUUACCCAAUAAAUCUGGUAGAGGAAACAAUAAAUGUUUUUAAGUCAUGAUCUAACUGCUGAAUACAUAGAGAAACAUAAAGAUGGUGACUAAACUUACAUAUCUUGUGGAAGUGUUGAUUCAUCUGUACUUGAAUACAGAAACAGUGAUCCACCGCUCUCAACACUCAGAACUUUCAGGGAAGUAAGAUCAGUGUAUUCAUUUGUAAUUGCAAAAAGGUCCACGCACACACCUGCUUGAACAGCACUAGUAGCCUGUGAUAUGCCAAUCAGAUAUAUUCUAAAAUAUUCUCAUAAUAUAUUGACUAAUCUUUGUGCAAAAUUACCAGAUUUUUGUAGAACCUUGUCUGCUCCUGCAGCAAUAUAUGAUCAGCACCCCUUGCUUUACCAGCAUUUUGGUCCUCACUUAUAUCCAGCUGCCCAGCCCCAUAAUUGGGUGGACCAGAUAAAAAUGCAAAUAUCCUAGCUGUUUUUUAAAAAAGAAAAAUGGAAAAUGAUCAGGACAAGUUAUAGUGGCAGACGAGGUCAAGUACCAGAGACCCAGUCCUGAAACAAAAUAACAAACAUUAGUGUGGUAAAAGGCUCAAGGCAUUAACAUACCAAGCUCGAACGCAUUUCCAUAUUCCGAACUUAGAUAGUUGAUAAGAACAUCCAACGCUACACCAAAACCACGUACAUGAUGCAAUACAUGAUCCUGUCCUUCGUGCGCAUUUGCAGCUACUUCCCAGGAAGACAUCGGUUUAAUUGUUUCAAGUGCUUCAGUAAUGCGAUCUUUGCAACUAUCAAUCUGUGAAGAUGUAACUUGAUAUUAGCGCAUACAGUACAAGUUAGAUGAAUAUUCUGGGACCAAAAGCCAGAGCCAAAUACAAAUAAGGAGAAAACUGUAAUUAAGAGCACAAUUUACAUACAGGUGCCAAAAAUGAGCAAAGGGGCAUGAUAUCUUCAAGGUCAACUUGUAAGGCACCAUCAGAAUCCGGAGGGAUAAACACAUUCUUCACAAUAGGUAUUGGGCCUUGGACAUCAUAUAAUCCUAUUUUGCUGCUAAAUGUCAAAAGCCCAAAUAGUGAUCCUGGAGAAAGAGCUGCAUGGAAUCAAAAUAUUAGUUUAUAUAGAGCUUUAUAAAAACUCCAAGUAUUAUGCUUCAAAAAAAGAUUAGCUCCAAGGACUUAAGCUCACCUUCAAGAGCUGCUUGAAGAGCACUUUUGACUAGCUCCAAGAACUCCUCUGAAGCUAAAGUGCAAUAUGAAGAAACAAACAUCAGAAACAGGUGAAUUUCACCCAAAAAAAAAGGAGGAGAGAUAAAUUACAAAAGGUAUAGAUAAACACUCAAAGAAUGUACUAUUGAAUUUAAGUUUGUGGAAAACUUAAUGAUUCAUAUAUCAGAUAAGACAGUAUAGCUUAAGCUGUAAGCCUAACAAAUUGUGGCUAAAGAUUUGACUGGCUAGGAACACCAAAAGUCAAGCACCAUGUUAAUGGAAACGGAUUUCAUCAAUCAAAGGGAAUUUUGAAACUGUGUUCAUCAAUCAUCAUAAUGCUGCAACGUUGUUUCCCUUUUUACAUUUACAACUAUAUAAAAGCAACCAGUUACACACCCCCAUGACAAUAUCAAUCACUUUGUCACUCAUUGGACUAAGUUUUAGCCUUUUAGGGCAUGAGCGCAAUAGGCCCCAACGGGUGUCAGUCUAUGACGACCCUCUGCAGGCACUCAAUAUAUGCAUAUUGAACCAUAAUGUACCAAAUUCAAGGCAUGAUUACCAGUUCGUUGCUAAAAUGCUAUACUAGCACCAAACGUGUACAGCUUGCAAAGGAACUGCAAGAUCUUACAGGACAAGUCGAUCGCUGCGACGUACACGGGCGUCGGAGCCGCUGCCGCUGCCGCCUCGCCCUCCUCCCCUGCAAAAUUCCACCACCAUCACCACCAGGUUACAGCAAUACCGCAUCGUGCCACAGCGCCAAUGCGCUGCAUCCAAUCAGAACGGCGAAGAGAGAGAGAGACGUGUACUGGGGGGGAGGAGGAGGUCGACGAACGCGGAGCGCAUCUCGGGCGGGUCGUGGCCACCGUCGCGGGCGUAGCGCGCGGCGGCGUCGGCGGGGAGGUCAUUCUCGGCGCCGCAGACGGCGCAGUUCCAGGACCAGCGGUCGAGCGGGCAGAGCAAGCUGAAGUAGGCGAAGCAGGACUGGCAGCGGGGGAGGAGGUGGCCCUCGGCGCCGGUGGCCGGCGUGGAGCCGCGCUCAUCUGUGGCAGAGAACGGAGUGACGGCGACGCCCCACGGGAUGCCGCAGGCCUCGUGGAGCGCGGGGUCGGAGGGGAAGCAGGCGAGGCUCGCGCGCACCGCCAUUGCCGCCGCGCGGAUUUGGGGCUUCGGAUCUGGCGACGUGACGAGAGAUCUCAGGGAAGCUCUGUGCCUUGUGCGCCUCGAGUGUUUUGGUGCGGUUUAACCAGUGGGCAGCCGGCAAGGAGGGGCCUUGUGUGCUGGACUGGAAAUGGUGAAACACACCACGGAAAGCUGAUCAGGAGCGUCUAUUUCGAUUUGUGAUCUUGAUGGCUGGAAUGAACCAAGCGAUGUGAUAGGGAUUGAGGAAUCUCUAAUCACAUGGACGCUGUGCCAACAAUGAAAUUUUGCCUCGAAACCAACCUAAUUGCAGCAUCGUAUGGCAAAAGAAACUAUUUAUAGCUCUAACUUAGUAAGGAUUAAAAAGUGUGAUUAUCGAUUUUGAUAAUAAUUUCUUUAAGGCAAAGUUAAGGCUUUGCACAUCUUUUUAGUUAGAGCAUCUCCAAGGGUUAUGCAUUUUUAGUUUUGCAUUUGAUGGAGUUUACAAAGUUUCAAAUAAAAAUAGCAAGGAUAAGAGCAUCUCCAACAAUUGACAAAAAGCACUUGGCAUCCUUGAAAAAUUGGCAAAAGUGGCAAAAAUGCAUCUCCAACAGUUUGGCAAACACAUUUGGCAAAUUGACACGCUUGGCAAAAUCAUGAGCCGCGCUCACAGCUAUCCGCCGCGCGGACUCGCUUGGCAACGCGCGAUCUCUCUUCUUCUUUCCCUUUCCCGCGCGACAAGUGAAACUGUCCGUCGUCUGAAGGUCGCCGCGCCCUUCCUCCCAGAUCGCCGUCGUCUGAAGGUCCGUCGCGACCAGGUGCUCAUCUCGAUCUGAAGUUGUGCCCCGCCGCCGCCGCCGCCGUGUGAUCAGGUAUGCAUCGGUCUGUCGGGCCUCGUCCAUCGUCCAUUGUUUGGAUCCCGCCAGGGCCUCGUCCAUUGUCUAGGGUUCGCUAUAUCCAUCUGAUUGUUUCAUUCUACAUCACUCAGACACAUCGAUCCUACUAGUAUAUAUACAUGACAGAUCAGUUCAGUUCACACGUACUACAUACAUACAUAAUCAGUUCGAUGAGCCUUCAAGAGUGGUUUGUCUUUGUGCCUCCUUUUCUUGGAACAUUGGUCACCUAAUAAGCAGAUAAACUGCAUGUACGUGUUUCCUGUAGGGCGAUACAGCAUGUUCUUUGAAUCAGCGUGCUGGCAAAUCUACGUGUUGCCCAUGAGCGAAUUUUCAAUAACUUUAAUCUAGAUUAGUAUGACUUGACGCACUGUUCAGCACUUUCAGCCUAUUGAAUUGACUCUAAAUCUAUUAUGAGAAUAAGCACUUCAGACGAUUCAUCUGCAUCUGAUUGCCCCCAACCAUUCACGGUCUCCUGUAAUGAAGGCCAAACUUUAAUAUGACAAAAGAAGAAGCAGGUAAAGAACUUCUGAAAAUGACACGAACAGUCUGAAUGGCACCUCUGAAAAUUCAGAAUAGAAGCUGGGAAAGAAUCUUGUAUAUAUUUCACGAUGUACUGCAUAUAUUAAUGCAUAUAUUUGCUGAUUCAUCGGAUGGUAUUGUUCAGUAAAGUUUGUGUAUAUAUAUUUUACGGUGUUCUCUCUUGAAUGGUCUUGUAUAUCUUAUUUCAGACUCAUUUAGAUGGAUCCACAAGGAGAAGAUUUCUUGUCGGGGAUUCUUCUGGAUGGAGAAGGUGACCAUGUUUCAGGUUUGGACGACCUUGUCAUUCCACUGACUCCACAGGAUACUCAGGCUAGCCCCGAGGUGGAAGUUGUUGCUUCUCGUGGUAACAAGGGAUCGAAGAGGGCCAAAAAUUUUAGUGUGGAGGAAGACGAAAUUGUUUGUGAAGGAUGGUUGGUCGCUAGCAAAGAUCCAAUUCACGGAGCCAACCAAAACCGUACUAGCUUUUGGGGUAAGGUUCAUGCUUACUUUUGGGAGCACAAUAAGNNNNNNNNNNNNNNNNNNNNNNNNNNNNNNNNNNNNNNNNNNNNNNNNNNNNNNNNNNNNNNNNNNNNNNNNNNNNNNNNNNNNNNNNNNNNNNNNNNNNNNNNNNNNNNNNNNNNNNNNNNNNNNNNNNNNNNNNNNNNNNNNNNNNNNNNNNNNNNNNNNNNNNNNNNNNNNNNNNNNNNNNNNNNNNNNNNNNNNNNNNNNNNNNNNNNNNNNNNNNNNNNNNNNNNNNNNNNNNNNNNNNNNNNNNNNNNNNNNNNNNNNNNNNNNNNNNNNNNNNNNNNNNNNNNNNNNNNNNNNNNNNNNNNNNNNNNNNNNNNNNNNNNNNNNNNNNNNNNNNNNNNNNNNNNNNNNNNNNNNNNNNNNNNNNNNNNNNNNNNNNNNNNNNNNNNNNNNNNNNNNNNNNNNNNNNNNNNNNNNNNNNNNNNNNNNNNNNNNNNNNNNNNNNNNNNNNNNNNNNNNNNNNNNNNNNNNNNNNNNNNNNNNNNNNNNNNNNNNNNNNNNNNNNNNNNNNNNNNNNNNNNNNNNNNNNNNNNNNNNNNNNNNNNNNNNNNNNNNNNNNNNNNNNNNNNNNNNNNNNNNNNNNNNNNNNNNNNNNNNNNNNNNNNNNNNNNNNNNNNNNNNNNNNNNNNNNNNNNNNNNNNNNNNNNNNNNNNNNNNNNNNNNNNNNNNNNNNNNNNNNNNNNNNNNNNNNNNNNNNNNNNNNNNNNNNNNNNNNNNNNNNNNNNNNNNNNNNNNNNNNNNNNNNNNNNNNNNNNNNNNNNNNNNNNNNNNNNNNNNNNNNNNNNNNNNNNNNNNNNNNNNNNNNNNNNNNNNNNNNNNNNNNNNNNNNNNNNNNNNNNNNNNNNNNNNNNNNNNNNNNNNNNNNNNNNNNNNNNNNNNNNNNNNNNNNNNNNNNNNNNNNNNNNNNNNNNNNNNNNNNNNNNNNNNNNNNNNNNNNNNNNNNNNNNNNNNNNNNNNNNNNNNNNNNNNNNNNNNNNNNNNNNNNNNNNNNNNNNNNAGAUAACAGCAUCUCAGACUCAGCACCAAGCACCGCGCCCGCCUAGAACAACAAGCAGAUGUAGCGCAAAUAGGAUGUCUGACUCGCGAGGAAGGUGUCGUUGAAGAGGCGAGGAUGUGCGCGACGCCGAAGACGUUACUCGCCCUCGCGGACGGCCGGGCCGAGGAUCAUGGUCACCUCCAUGAGCUCCUGCGUCCUCUUCCUCCCGGACUGCAUAAUCAAGACCAGAACGAGAUCGGCACAGGUGACGAACCAACGGUGAGACAACGAAGGAGCGCGAGGAGGUGUUACCAUGGGUACGACCACAUGCUCACUGCGGCGGCGGCGGCGGAGAGAAGGGUAGGGUUCGGAGGAGGGACGAGGCGAGGAGCGGAUGGAGAAAUGUGCGUGUACUUGUAGUAGACUUGUAUACAUAGAUACAUGGGAAUGGGCCUUCAGCUUAG